rnacentral:rRNA from 1 species
AUUGAACGCUGGCGGCAUGCCUUACACAUGCAAGUCGAACGGCAGCACGGGAGCAAUCCUGGUGGCGAGUGGCGAACGGGUGAGUAAUAUAUCGGAACGUGCCCAGUCGUGGGGGAUAACGCAGCGAAAGCUGUGCUAAUACCGCAUACGAUCUACGGAUGAAAGCGGGGGAUCGCAAGACCUCGCGCGAUUGGAGCGGCCGAUAUCAGAUUAGCUAGUUGGUGAGGUAAAGGCUCACAAAGGGGACGAGCUGUAGCUGGUCUGAGAGGACGACCAGCCACACUGGAACUGAGACACGGCCCAGACUCCUACGGGAGGCAGCAGUGGGGAAUUUUGGACAAUGGGCGCAAGCCUGAUCCAGCAAUGCCGCGUGCAGGAUGAAGGCCUUCGGGUUGUAAACUGCUUUUGUACGGAACGAAACGGUGAGCUCUAAUACAGUUUGCUAAUGACGGUACCGUAAGAAUAAGCACCGGCUAACUACGUGCCAGCCGCCGCGGUAACAC